rnacentral:tRNA from 1 species
AUUUAUUUAGCUUAUAUAGAGCAAUUUACUGAAGAUAAAGAGGACUAAAUA